rnacentral:rRNA from 1 species
CAAGGAACUAAGAGUUUAUGGGGGAUACCUUGGCAUUCAGAAGCGAUGAAGGACGUGGUUACCGACGAAACGCUUCGGGGAGCUGGAAACAAGCUACGAUCCGGAGGUCUCCGAAUGAGGAAACUUUAAUAAUAACUGCUUAUUGAAUUCAUAGAUAAGUAAGAGCAAACCUAGGGAAUUGAAACAUCUUAGUACCUAGAGGAAGAGAAAGUAAAAACGAUUCCCUUAGUAGCGGCGAGCGAAAUGGGAACAGCCUAAACUCAAUUCUAAAUUGAGGGUAGUGGGACAAUUAUAACGAUACUGUAACAAUUAGAAGAACAAGUUUGGAAUACUUGACCAUAGAGAGUGAUAGUCUCGUAUUCGAAAAUUGAAACAAUCAAAUUGUAUCCCAAGUAGCAUGGAGCACGUGAAAUUCCGUGUGAAUCUGCGAGGACCACCUCGUAAGGCUAAAUAUUCCUGAAUGACCGAUAGUGAAACAGUACCGUGAGGGAAAGGUGAAAAGAACCCCGGG